rnacentral:lncRNA from 1 species
GAUGAGAUGCGGCAAUCUAUGGCUCUCAUACUUGACUGAUGUGGUGACUAUUCCCACUAUACAAAGUGGAAACCAUAAUUCAUAGAGCAAAAUACACUGAAUAAAAUUAUGGUAGCUUAGACAUUGUACAAGAAAAUAUUAGGAAACCUGAAUACAUAGCAGGAGUUUCUGCCAUUGCUAUGAAAUUAUUUAUUUUUCCUUGCUGCAAAUUUUGCAUUUUACAUUUUGAGGCCAUGUUAUGAGGUGGAUACACAGGUAAAUAAAAUACAGAAAUACAAUAAGACUAAAAAAAUAAAAAGAGAGAAUUAGUGAGCUGUGGUAUGAGUGAACCCU